rnacentral:rRNA from 1 species
UGAGGGAAUAUUGGGUCAAUGGGGCGGAAGCCUGAACCAGCCAUGCCGCGUGAAGGAAUAAGGCCCUAUGGGUCGUAAACUUCUUUUGGCGGGGAGCAAUAAGGUCUACGUGUAGACCGAUGAGAGUACUCGUUGAAUAAGCAACGGCUAAUUACGUGCCAGCAGCCGCGGUAACACGUAAGUUGCGAGCGUUGUUCGGAAUUAUUGGGCGUAAAGGGUAUGUAGGCGGUUCUGCAAGUCUGGUGUGAAAUGCCGGGGCUCAACCCCGGAACUGCGUUGGAAACUGCAGGACUUGAAUCGCUGAGGGGCAGCCAGAAUUCCAGGUGUAGGGGUGAAAUCUGUAGAUAUCUGGAAGAAUACCAAUGGCGAAGGCAGGCUGCCAGCAGAUGAUUGACGCUGAGGUACGAAGGUGCGGGGAGCAAACAGGAUUAGAUACCCUGGUAGU